rnacentral:rRNA from 1 species
ACUCCUACGGGAGGCAGCAGUGGGGAAUUUUGGACAAUGGGGGCAACCCUGAUCCAGCCAUUCCGCGUGAGUGAAGAAGGCCUUCGGGUUGUAAAGCUCUUUCAGCCGGAACGAAACGGUACGCACUAAUAUUGUGUGCUAAUGACGGUACCGGCAGAAGAAGCACCGGCUAACUACGUGCCAGCAGCCGCGGUAAUACGUAGGGUGCGAGCGUUAAUCGGAAUUACUGGGCGUAAAGCGUGCGCAGGCGGAUUGUUAAGCAAGAUGUGAAAUCCCCGGGCUUAACCUGGGAAUGGCAUUUUGAACUGGCAGUCUAGAGUGUGUCAGAGGGGGGUGGAAUUCCACGUGUAGCAGUGAAAUGCGUAGAUAUGUGGAGGAACACCAAUGGCGAAGGCAGCCCCCUGGGAUAACACUGACGCUCAUGUACGAAAGCGUGGGUAGCAAACAGGAUUAGAUACCCUGGUAGUCCACGCCCUAAACGAUG